rnacentral:rRNA from 1 species
AGAAUCAACGCUGGCGGCGUGCCUAACACAUGCAAGUCGAACGAGAAAGUGGAGCAAUCCACGAGUAAAGUGGCGCACGGGUGAGUAACACGUGACUAACCUACCCUUGAGUGGGGGAUAACCUAGAGAAAUCUGGGCUAAUACCGCAUAAUACCUUCGGGUCAAAGGAGCAAUUCGCUUAAGGAGGGGGUCGCGGCCGAUUAGUUAGUUGGCGGGGUAAUGGCCCACCAAGACUAUGAUCGGUAUCCGGCCUGAGAGGGCGCACGGACACACUGGAACUGAAACACGGUCCAGACUCCUACGGGAGGCAGCAGUGGGGAAUUUGCGCAAUGGGGGAAACCCUGACGCAGCAACGCCGCGUGGAGGAUGAAGUCCCUUGGGACGUAAACUCCUUUCGAUCGGGACGAUAAUGACGGUACCGAGAGAAGAAGCCCCGGCUAACUCGCGCCAGCAGCCGC